GCGCUCAGGCCUCUCCUCAAUUAUGUGCGCGCUGAUCUUUCGCCUUUUACUAAAGAUCACCGUGGGGAGGGGCUGUUGAAUGAGCUUUUCACAGCCAAUUUUUGCAUGGCCUUUGCCGUUUGGCAA
rnacentral:snRNA from 1 species